GACAUGCCUUUCUAAAACCUUGUGACAUCCUCAUUGUAGUACUUCCGUACAUUCUACUGUUCCGAUAACUAACGUCUGUUCGAACAGCCAAGAUGUCUGGAACCGCACUUAAACUAGAGUGAAGAGUCAUAAAUUUAUUGAAUAAAGAUCAGGUAAAAUUAAAGAGAAAUAAAAGAGAAGAAAUGCAAAUGGGUUAAAGGAGCACAAGGUCCCGGAGAUGGGUAACCCUACUGGGAAGCAACUGUGGAUUCAGUUGCCAACCCCAAACUCAUGAGGACCCCUGUGAGAUAAUUAUUUGGGACUUAAUUGAA
rnacentral:misc_RNA from 1 species